rnacentral:miRNA from 1 species
GGACUGCAAUAUGAACUUUGCACC